GGUGAACGCUGGCGGCGUGCUUAAGACAUGCAAGUCGAACGCAGUCUUCGGACUGAGUGGCGCACGGGUGAGUAACACGUAACUGACCUACCCCCAAGUCGCGAAUAACCAGCCGAAAGGAUGGCUACUACGUGAUGUGAUGAUCCGCUGUGGCGGAUCAUUAAAGACUUGAUUGCUUGGGGAUGGGGUUGCGUUCCAUCAGCUAGGUGGUAAGGUAAAGGCUUACCAAGGCAACGACGGAUAGCCGGCCUGAGAGGGUGGCCGGCCACAGGGGCACUGAGACACGGGUCCCACUCCUACGGGAGGCAGCAGUUAGGAAUCUUCCACAAUGGGCGCAAGCCUGAUGGAGCGACGCCGCGUGAGGGAUGAAGGUUCUCGGAUCGUAAACCUCUGAACCAACGACGAAAGACCCGACAAGGGAGAUGACGGUAGUUGGGUAAUAGCACCGGCUAACUCCGUGCCAGCCGCCGCAGUAACAC
rnacentral:rRNA from 1 species